UACGUAGGGCGCAAGCGUUGUCCGGAAUUAUUGGGCGUAAAGAGCUCGUAGGCGGUCUGUCGCGUCCGUUGUGAAAACUCGAGGCUCAACCUCGGGCUUGCAGUGGAUACGGGCAGACUAGAGUGCGGUAGGGGAGACUGGAAUUCCUGGUGUAGCGGUGGAAUGCGCAGAUAUCAGGAGGAACACCGAUGGCGAAGGCAGGUCUCUGGGACGGUACUGACGCUGAGACGCGAAAGCGUGGGGAGCGAACAGG
rnacentral:rRNA from 1 species